rnacentral:pre_miRNA from 1 species
AAUGUAUGACGCCGUUGACUUUUUUAUCAACGUUUGACCAUUCGUCUUAUUCAAAAAAUUUAUAUAAUUAUCAUUUAUUUUAUUGUGACUUAAUUUAUCAUCAAAUAUUCUUUAAGCAUGACAUAAAUAUUUUUAUAUUUGUACAAAAAAUUUAAAUAAGACGAAUGAUCAAACGUUAAAAAGUCAACGGUGUCAUACAUU